rnacentral:rRNA from 1 species
AAGACCUUGCACUUUUGGAGCGGCCGAUGUCUGAUUAGCUAGUUGGUAGGGUAAUGGCCUACCAAAGCUUCGAUCAGUAGCUGGUCUGAGAGGACGGCCAGCCACACUGGGACUGAGACACGGCCCAGACUCCUACGGGAGGCAGCAGUGGGGAAUUUUGGACAAUGGGGGCAACCCUGAUCCAGCCAUGCCGCGUGAGUGAAGAAGGCCUUCGGGUUGUAAAGCUCUUUCAGCCGGAACGAAACGGUUACGGUUAAUACCCGUGAUUACUGACGGUACCGGAAGAAGAAGCACCGGCUAACUACGUGUCAGCAGCCGCGGUAAUACGUAGGGUGCGAGCGUUAAUCGGAAUUACUGGGCGUAAAGGGUGCGCAGGCGGUUUUGUAAGUCAGAUGUGAAAUCCCCGGGCUUAACCUGGGAACU